CGUCUCACUCUCUCCUCCUGGGCUGCGUUCAGAUUCCCCACUCGGUGGGUGAUCUCUGGGUGACUGGGUAAGUGGGCGGAGCUAAUAAAAAGCUCCUUAGUGGUUUAUAGAAUCUGAACGCACUUAACGCACUGAACGCAUUCAAUUGAAUCCACUCUCUCACCUCUCACACAAGUUAACCUCAUUUCUUCAUAUAUAAUAUAUAACGCGUAUUUAGAGAUGGAAAAAUCGGAUAUUGCCUUAGAUGCCGAAAGACAUGAACUAUAUAAAUCAGAAACUAAUGAACCUGUUAGACUAGAUGGAUCAUUAUUGAUUCGUGAUAAAAUCACUGAUGUUGUUAUGAUGAUUCUUAAUACAAUAAAAACGAGACAGUUCUUUAACGUUAAUACAAUUAAUAAAAAUUCAAGU